GAUGAACGCUAGCGGCAGGCCUAACACAUGCAAGUCGAGGGGUAACAGGGAGAAGCUUGCUUUUCCGCUGACGACCGGCGCACGGGUGCGUAACGCGUAUACAAUCUGCCUUAUACUGGGGUAUAGCCUUUAGAAAUGAAGAUUAAUCCCCCAUAGUCUCUUAGAGUGGCAUCAUUUUAGGAGUAAAGGUUACGGUAUAAGAUGAGUAUGCGUUCUAUUAGUUUGUUGGUGAGGUAACGGCUCACCAAGGCUACGAUAGAUAGGGGCCCUGAGAGGGGGAUCCCCCACACUGGUACUGAGACACGGACCAGACUCCUACGGGAGGCAGCAGUGAGGAAUAUUGGACAAUGGAGGCAACUCUGAUCCAGCCAUGCCGCGUGCAGGAAGACUGCCCUAUGGGUUGUAAACUGCUUUUAUAUAGGAAGAAACCUACUUACGUGUAAGUAGCUGACGGUACUAUAAGAAUAAGGAUCGGCUAACUCCGUG
rnacentral:rRNA from 1 species